rnacentral:rRNA from 1 species
UACGUAGGGGGCAAGCGUUGUCCGGAUUUAUUGGGCGUAAAGAGCGUGUAGGCGGCCAGGUAGGUGGGUUGUGAAAACUGGAGGCUCAACCUUCAGACGUCGACCCAAACCCCCUGGCUAGAGUCCGGAAGAGGAGAGUGGAAUUCCUGGUGGUAGCGGUGGAAAUGCGCAGAUAUCAGGAAGAACACCGGUGGCGAAGGCGGCCCACUGGUCCGGUACUGACGCUGAGGUGCGAAAGCGUGGGGAGCAAACAGGA